rnacentral:misc_RNA from 1 species
AAGUCGUAACAAGGUUUCCGUAGGUGAACCUGCGGAAGGAUCAUUAUCGAGUUAAACUUAUUGACUUUUGAUGCUGGCCGCUUGCGGCAUGUGCUCGGGUCUUUAAAUCCACUCAACCACUGUGCACUAAUUCGAAGCUUCGCGGGUUCAGAGGGCUCCCUUUUCGGAGGUUGAGUUUAUCGGGGCUUUGCGGGGCUUUCGAGCUUCAUACAAACCACUUUAUUGUCAUGUCGAAUGUAUACUUUAAUGAAAAUACAACUUUCAACAACGGAUCUCUUGGCUCUC